CGGAGGCAGUGGCAGACGGGUGAGUAACGCGUGGGAAUCUACCUAGUUCUACGGAACAACAGUUGGAAACGACUGCUAAUACCGUAUACGCCCUACGGGGGAAAGAUUUAUCGGAAUUAGAUGAGCCCGCGUAAGAUUAGCUAGUUGGUGGGGUAAUGGCCUACCAAGGCGACGAUCUUUAGCUGGUCUGAGAGGAUGAUCAGCCACACUGGGACUGAGACACGGCCCAGACUCCUACGGGAGGCAGCAGUGGGGAAUAUUGGACAAUGGGCGCAAGCCUGAUCCAGCCAUGCCGCGUGAGUGAUGAAGGCCUUAGGGUUGUAAAGCUCUUUCAGUGGGGAAGAUAAUGACGGUACCCACAGAAGAAGCCCCGGCUAACUUCGUGCCAGCAGCCGCGGUAAUACGAAGGGGGCUAGCGUUGUUCGGAUUUACUGGGCGUAAAGCGCACGUAGGCGGAUUGUUAAGUCAGGGGUGAAAUCCUGGAGCUCAACUCCAGAACUGCCUUUGAUACUGGCAAUCUCGAGUCCGGAAGAGGUGAGUGGAACUCCUAGUGUAGAGGUGGAAUUCGUAGAUAUUAGGAAGAACACCAGUGGCGAAGGCGGCUCACUGGUCCGGUACUGACGCUGAGGUGCGAAAGCGUGGGGAGCAA
rnacentral:rRNA from 1 species